rnacentral:rRNA from 1 species
UACGUAGGGGGCUAGCGUUGUCCGGAAUCAUUGGGCGUAAAGAGCGUGUAGGCGGUCCGGUAAGUCCGCUGUGAAAGUCGGGGGCUCAACCCUCGAAUGCCGGUGGAUACUGUCGGGCUAGAGUGCGGAAGAGGCGAGUGGAAUUCCUGGUGUAGCAGUGAAAUGCGUAGAGAUCAUGAGGAAGACCAGUGGCGAAGGCGGGUCUCUGGACAGUUCCUGACACUGAGGCACGAAGGCCAGGGGAGCAAACGGG